GAUGAACGCUGGCGGCGUGCCUAAUACAUGCAAGUCGAGCGAACAGACCAGGAGCUUGCUCCUCUGACGAAAGCCGCGGACGGGUGAGUAACACGUGGAUAACCUACCUAUAACACUGGGAUAACUUCGGGACACCGGAGCUAAUACCGGAUAACAUGUUGAACCACAUGGUUCAACAGUGAAAGACGGUCUUGCGGUCUCUACUAGGUGCAUCCGCGCCGCAUUAGCUAGUUGGUAGGGUAACGGCUUACCAAGGCGACGAAGCGUAGCCGACCUGACAGGGUGGUCGGCCACCCAAGAACUGAGACACGGUCCAGGGGCCUACGGGAGGGAGCAGUUUGGCAUCGUCCGCCAGGGACGGAAGACUGACGGAGCGGGGGCGCGUGAGAUAGGAAGGUCUGCGGAGCGUAAAUCUCAGGUAGUAGGGGAGAACGCAUGUGGAGGGGACUAUACACGUCUUGACGGUAACGAAGCAGGAAGCGACGGCUAACUACGUG
rnacentral:rRNA from 1 species